rnacentral:rRNA from 1 species
CCUACGGGAGGCAGCAGUGGGGAAUAUUGCGCAAUGGGCGAAAGCCUGACGCAGCGACGCCGCGUGAGGGAUGAAGGUCUUCGGAUCGUAAACCUCUGUCAGCAGGGAAGAACGGUCACUGUGCUAAUCAGCAGUGAAUUGACGGUACCUGCAAAGGAAGCACCGGCUAACUCCGUGCCAGCAGCCGCGGUAAUACGGAGGAUGCGAGCGUUAUCCGGAUUUAUUGGGUUUAAAGGGUGCGUAGGCGGAAUGCCAAGUCAGCGGUAAAAUCGCGGGGCUCAACCUCGCUCCGCCGUUGAAACUGGCGUUCUUGAGUGGGCGAGAAGUAUGCGGAAUGCGUGGUGUAGCGGUGAAAUGCAUAGAUAUCACGCAGAACUCCGAUUGCGAAGGCAGCAUACCGGCGCCCAACUGACGCUGAAGCACGAAAGCGUGGGUAUCGAACAGGAUUAGAUACCCGAGUAGUC